UACGUAGGGUGCGAGCGUUAAUCGGAAUUACUGGGCGUAAAGCGUGCGCAGGCGGUUCGUUGUGUCGGUGGUGAAAGCCCCGGGCUUAACCUGGGAAUGGCCAUGGAAACUGGCGAACUGGAGUGUGGCAGAGGGGGGUGGAAUUCCGCGUGUAGCAGUGAAAUGCGUAGAGAUGCGGAGGAACACCGAUGGCGAAGGCAAUCCCCUGGACCUGUACUGACGCUCAUGCACGAAAAGCGUGGGGGAGCAAACAGG
rnacentral:rRNA from 1 species